rnacentral:rRNA from 1 species
CACACUAUCAUUAACUGAAUCCAUAGGUUAAUGAGGCGAACCGGGGGAACUGAAACAUCUAAGUACCCCGAGGAAAAGAAAUCAACCGAGAUUCCCCCAGUAGCGGCGAGCGAACGGGGAGGAGCCCAGAGCCUGAAUCAGUGUGUGUGUUAGUGGAAGCGUCUGGAAAGGCGCGCGAUACAGGGUGACAGCCCCGUACACAAAAAUGCACAUACUGUGAGCUCGAUGAGUAGGGCGGGACACGUGGUAUCCUGUCUGAAUAUGGGGGGACCAUCCUCCAAGGCUAAAUACUCCUGACUGACCGAUAGUGAACCAGUACCGUGAGGGAAAGGCGAAAAGAACCCCGGCGAGGGGAGUGAAAAAGAACCUGAAACCGUGUACGUACAAGCAGUGGGAGCCUCUUUUAUGGGGUGACUGCGUACCUUUUGUAUAAUGGGUCAGCGACUUAUAUUCUGUAGCAAGGUUAACCGAAUAGGGGAGCCGAAGGGAAACCGAGUCUUAACUGGGCGUUAAGUUGCAGGGUAUAGACCCGAAACCCGGUGAUCUAGCCAUGGGCAGGUUGAAGGUUGGGUAACACUAACUGGAGGACCGAACCGACUAAUGUUGAAAAAUUAGCGGAUGACUUGUGGCUGGGGGUGAAAGGCCAAUCAAACCGGGAGAUAGCUGGUUCUCCCCGAAAGCUAUUUAGGUAGCGCCUCGUGAAUUCAUCUCCGGGGGUAGAGCACUGUUUCGGCAAGGGGGUCAUCCCGACUUACCAACCCGAUGCAAACUGCGAAUACCGGAGAAUGUUAUCACGGGAGACACACGGCGGGUGCUAACGUCCGUCGUGAAGAGGGAAACAACCCAGACCGCCAGCUAAGGUCCCAAAGUCAUGGUUAAGUGGGAAACGAUGUGGGAAGGCCCAGACAGCCAGGAUGUUGGCUUAGAAGCAGCCAUCAUUUAAAGAAAGCGUAAUAGCUCACUGGUCGAGUCGGCCUGCGCGGAAGAUGUAACGGGGCUAAACCAUGCACCGAAGCUGCGGCAGCGACGCUUAUGCGUUGUUGGGUAGGGGAGCGUUCUGUAAGCCUG